AGAGUUUGAUCAUGGCUCAGAACGAACGCUGGCGGCGUGGAUAAGACAUGCAAGUCGAGCGCUGAUUACAGGGUAGCAAUAUUCUGUAGUUGGAGCGGCGCAAGGGUGCGUAACACGUGGGUAAUCUACCAUGAAGUUUGGGAUAACUUGCUGAAAGGCGAGCUAAUACCGGAUGUAAAAAUUGGGAGGCAUCUUCUGAUUUUCAAAGCUGGGGACCGUAAGGCCUGGCGCUUCAUGAUGAGCCCGCGGCCUAUCAGCUAGUUGGUAAGGUAACGGCUUACCAAGGCUAAGACGGGUAGCUGGUCUGAGAGGACGACCAGCCACACUGGAACUGAGACACGGUCCAGACACCUACGGGUGGCAGCAGUCGAGAAUUUUUCACAAUGGGCGCAAGCCUGAUGGAGCGACGCCGCGUGGGGGAUGAAUGGCUUCGGCCCGUAAACCCCUGUCAUUUGCGAUCAAACCUCGUUAUUUAAAAGAUGACGAGCUGAUAGUAGCGAAAGAGGAAGGGACGGCUAACUCUGUGCCAGCAGCCGCGGUAAUACAGAGGUCCCAAGCGUUGUUCGGAUUCACUGGGCGUAAAGGGUGCGUAGGUGGCGAGGUAAGUCGGAUGUGAAAUCUCCGAGCUCAACUCGGAAAUGGCAUUGGAAACUACCUUGCUUGAGGGUCGGAGGGGGGACUGGAAUACUUGGUGUAGCAGUGAAAUGCGUAGAUAUCAAGUGGAACACCAGUGGCGAAGGCGAGUCCCUGGACGACUCCUGACACUGAGGCACGAAAGCUAGGGGAGCAAACAGGAUUAGAUACCCUAGUAGUCC
rnacentral:rRNA from 1 species